rnacentral:rRNA from 1 species
ACGCUGGCGGCGUGCCUAAUACAUGCAAGUCGAACGCACAGCGAAAGGUGCUUGCACCUUUCAAGUGAGUGGCGAACGGGUGAGUAACACGUGGACAACCUGCCUCAAGGCUGGGGAUAACAUUCGGAAACAGAUGCUAAUACCGAAUAAAACUUAGUGUCGCAUGACACAAAGUUAAAAGGCGCUUCGGCGUCACCUAGAGAUGGAUCCGCGGUGCAUUAGUUAGUUGGUGGGGUAAAGGCCUACCAAGACAAUGAUGCAUAGCCGAGUUGAGAGACUGAUCGGCCACAUUGGGACUGAGACACGGCCCAAACUCCUACGGGAGGCUGCAGUAGGGAAUCUUCCACAAUGGGCGAAAGCCUGAUGGAGCAACGCCGCGUGUGUGAUGAAGGCUUUCGGGUCGUAAAGCACUGUUGUAUGGGAAGAACAGCUAGAAUAGGAAAUGAUUUUAGUUUGACGGUACCAUACCAGAAAGGGACGGGCUAAAUACGUGCCAGCAGCCGCGGUAAUACGUAUGUCCCGAGCGUUAUCCGGAUUUAUUGGGCGUAAAGCGAGCGCAGACGGUUUAUUAAGUCUGAUGUGAAAGCCCGGAGCUCAACUCCGGAAUGGCAUUGGAAACUGGUUAACUUGAGUGCAGUAGAGGUAAGUGGAACUCCAUGUGUAGCGGUGAAAUGCGUAGAUAUAUGGAAGAACACCAGUGGCGAAGGCGGCUUACUGGACUGCAACUGACGUUGAGGCUCGAAAGUGUGGGUAGCAAAC